UAGGGAAUAUUAGUAAUGGGCGAAAGCCUGAACUAGCAACACCGCGUGUGCGAAGAAGGCCUUCGGGUUGUAAAGCACUUUUUGAGAGGAUGAGGAAGGACGGUACUCUCAGAAUAAGUCUCGGCUAACUACGUGCCAGCAGCCGCGGUAACACGUAGGAGGCAAACGUUAUCCGGAUUUACUGGGCGUAAAGCGCGUGUAGGUGGUUUGGUAAGUAGAGCGUGAAAGCUCCUGGCUCAACUGGGAGAGGUCGUUCUAAACUGCCGGACUAGAGGAUGGUAGAGGGAGGUGGAAUUCCGGGUGUAGCGGUGGAAUGCGUUGAUAUCCUAAGGAACACCAGGAGCGAAAGCGGCUUACUGGGUGUCUUCUGACGCUGAGGCACGAAAGCCAGGGGAGCGAACG
rnacentral:rRNA from 1 species